rnacentral:rRNA from 1 species
UACAGAGGUCCCAAGCGUUGUUCGGAUUUACUGGGCGUAAAGGGUGCGUAGGCGGUUGGGGAAGUCUGACGUGAAAUCUCCGGGCCUAACCCGGAAACUGCGUUGGAUACUACCUGACUAGAGGAAUGGAGGGGAGACUGGAAUACUUGGUGUAGCAGUGAAAUGCGUAGAUAUCGUAAGGAAGACCAGUGGCGAAGGCGGGUCUCUGGACAGUUCCUGACGCUGAGGCACGAAGGCCAGGGGAGCAAACGGG